UACGGAGGAUGCAAGCGUUAUCCGGAUUCAUUGGGUUUAAAGGGUGCGUAGGCGGGCUAUUAAGUCAGUGGUGAAAUCCUGCAGCUUAACUGCAGAACUGCCGUUGAUACUGAUAGUCUUGAGUUUGGUUAAGGUAGGCGGAAUGUGUAAUGUAGCGGUGAAAUGCUUAGAUAUUACACAGAACACCAAUUGCGUAGGCAGCUUACUGAGCCGACACUGACGCUAAGGCACGAAAGCGUGGGGAUCAAACAGGAUUA
rnacentral:rRNA from 1 species